CACACCAAUAUUAGGGUGGAAGCAUUCUAUAUGUACUUACAUAUGAAUGUAUAUAUUUCUAUAUGUUAUUUAAAUCUAGAAUUGCAUGCUACUUCAUCCUCUUUUAAAAACGCGAUAUAAUCGAAGCGAAAUGACGGCAGCUCAGAAUGGCAGUUAUAAGCACGUCACGGUAAUAAAUUACAAAUCGAAUCUUAUGAGUCUGGCAUACCAACUAAUUUAAAUCGAUUGUGAUGUAUAUAAAGUGACUGGUACGAAAAUUGGUAUAUAGUGGAAGUAAACAAGAAAUAAUGGCAAUUAUGUUUAAGAAGCAGCUGAGAAAGUUUUGUUUGGUUUGAGUGCAAUUAAAAUUGCGAAUUGGUACAUUGUUUGGAAAAAUGUCUUAAAUUGGAAAGUAGUUUACCAUUAUAAAAAUAAACGUAUAAUAAUAAAGAAUGGUGAAAUUUAUUUGCAACACACAUAUCUGCGUAUACCAUAAGUUAAUAAUAAACAAGAACAACUUUGGCUGCAUCGAAACUAUAAAACCAUUUACAAAUAUAAAAUAUUUCAUAUAAGGACUUGAAUUUGACCGGUCAAUUUGUAUGGCAGCUCUAAGCUGUAGUAGUCCGAUCUGAACGAUUCUUCAGAGAUUGUACCGUUUCGAGCUAAAUUUCGUGAAUACCCCAUUUCUAGUCAAAUAAGAAAAUUUUAACACAAGAACUUGACCUUGAUCGAUAAGUUUGUGUGGCAGCUAUAAGCUGUAGUGGUUCGAUAUCGGCGGUACCGACAAAUGAGCAGCUUCCUUGGAAGAAAAGGAUGUGUGCGAAAUUUCAGAUAGAUAUCUCAAAAACUGAGGAACUAAAUUGACUCAGCUCGACAUGCUGAUCAUUUAUAUAUAUAAUAUAUUUGAUAAGUCCCCAACGUUUCAUACUGGAUGUUAAAUACUUUGGCAAACUUAAUAUACCCUCUUCAGAGUAUAAAAAUAUGUGUUGGGAAAAAGAUAUUUUAUCAUUUCUACUCUGUAAACUUACUGUAAUGUCAUAAGUGAAGAUGUUGCCCCAUCUGCUGCCGAUGAAAGCUGAACCCCAUUGACCCUCAAUACAUUGCAAGGGCUCUUGUAGGUAUACGGAUUGUAUGUCCAAAGCAAAGUUCUGUAGUAAAGAGAAAUUAAAUACAAUAUGGUUUAAUUAUAUCAUAAUUAAUUUUUAUAGAACUACAUUUCUAAUACUUUUAUCCUACUUAUUUAAGAAAUAAAAUGGUAUAAGUGUCAAUAUUCUGCGUCACCCUAUUUUUAUAAUCUUAUGAAUGUCGUUUAAUCAGAAUUAUUUUUUGUGAGAUAACGGAAAGUAUUCCAUUAUGUUACUUAUUUUUCUAUGAAGCCAGCAAUUUUCUCAAACUCUGAAAAUACUAUAACUGUAAAAUGUGGAAGCUCUCCUUAUAAUGAAUUAAUUUCGAGGACACAGCUUUUUCGUACUUGAAAACUUCCUGUAAGCUAUUCGAAAUUUAAGCACUGUAUGGAAUGCCUAUCUUAAACCAGAAAAAAUUGCCAACUGUUUUAGAAAGAGCAUUGUUAUGAAGACGACCUUCUUUCAUUAUCGGAUUUGGCUGCAUUGGAGCCUUCAGUUAAAAAAGUAGCAAAUAUCGAAGCAUCAUUUGAGGACUACGUCAAUGUUGAUAUUAGUGCGCAGAUCUGCGACAGAGCGUCCGAAGAAGAUAUCUUCAGCGACGUUCUAGAAAGUCGUCGAGUUCCAUCUGUACUUGCUAACGAUGAAAACGAUUUGGUUGUUGAAGAAGAAUUGGCUGAUACUGAUGAGGCAUUACCUACAUUAUCACAAGUUUCUUCAUUUAUUAACUUAAUUAGAACCUUUGUGGAGAUGAGGUGUUACGUAACGAUUAAUAUUCUCAACUCUUUAAAUGAUUUGGAAGGUUUUGUUAAAAAUGAAAAAUGGAAGAGUGUAAUCCAAACUAAACGUACUGAUUAUUUUUAAUAAAAAUACUAAAAAAAAA